GCCUGAUGGAGCAACGCCGCGUGUGUGAUGAAGGCUUUCGGCUCGUAAAACACUGUUGUCGGAGAGAACGGCACUGAGAGUAACUGUUCGCUGUGUGACGGUACCUUACCAAAAAGCAACGGCUAACUACGUG
rnacentral:rRNA from 1 species